AGUGAACGCUGGCGGUAGGCCUAACACAUGCAAGUCGAACGGCAGCACAUUAAGAGCUUGCUCUUACGGGUGGCGGGUGGCGGACGGGUGAGGAAUGCAUCGGAAUCUACUUUUUCGUGGGGGACAUCGUAGGGAAACUUCCGCUAAUACCGCAUAAGACCUACCACUGAAAGCAGGGGAUAUUCGGACCUUGCCCUAUUGCAUGAGCCGAUGUCGGUUUAGCUAGUUGGCGGGGUAAAGGCCCACCAAGGCAACGGUCCGUACCUAGUUUGACAGGAGGAUCAGCCACACUGGAACGGAGAAACGGUCCAGACUCCUAGGGGAGGCAGAGGAGGGGAAUAUUGGACAAUGGGCGAAAGCCGGACCCAGACAGACCGCGGGGUGGAAGAAGGUCUUCGGUUGGAAAAGUCCUUUGGUUGGGAAAGAAGAGGGGCAGGGUAAAACCCCGCUGUUGUGACGGUACCUAAAGAAAAAGCACCGGCUAACUUCGUG
rnacentral:rRNA from 1 species